CCAUCGAUAGCUCAGUUGGUAGAGUGGUGGAUUGUAGAUCCAUAGGUCGCUGGUUAGAAUCCGGCUUGAAGGA
rnacentral:tRNA from 1 species